GACGAACGCUGGCGGCGUGCCUAAUACAUGCAAGUAGAACGCACAGUUUAUACCGUAGCUUGCUGCACCAUAGACUGCGAGUUGCGAACGGGUGAGUAACGCGUAGGUAACCUGCCUGGUAGCGGGGGAUAACUAUUGGAAACGAUAGCUAAUACCGCAUAAUAUUAAUUAUUGCAUGAUAAUUAAUUGAAAGGUGCAAUUGCACCACUACCAGAUGGACCUGCGUUGUAUUAGCUAGUAGGUGAGGUAACGGCUCACCUAGGCGACGAUACAUAGCCGACCUGAGAGGGUGAUCGGCCACACUGGGACUGAGACACGGCCCAGACUCCUACGGGAGGCAGCAGUAGGGAAUCUUCGGCAAUGGACGAAAGUCUGACCGAGCAACGCCGCGUGAGUGAAGAAGGUUUUCGGAUCGUAAAGCUCUGUUGUAAGAGAAGAACGGGUGUGAGAGUGGAAAGUUCACACUGUGACGGUAUCUUACCAGAAAGGGACGGCUAACUACGUG
rnacentral:rRNA from 1 species